rnacentral:rRNA from 1 species
UCUCAGUUCGGAUUGUAGUCUGCAACUCGACUACAUGAAGCUGGAAUCGCUAGUAAUCGCAGAUCAGAAUGCUGCGGUGAAUACGUUCCCGGGUCUUGUACACACCGCCCGUCACACCAUGGGAGUCGGAAAUGCCCGAAGCCGGUGACCCAACCAAAAGGAGGGAGCCGUCGAAGGCAGGUCUGAUAACUGGGGUGAAGUCGUAACAAGGUAUC